rnacentral:misc_RNA from 1 species
AACCUUAUGGACCUGCGGGCGUAUACCUGCGGAAGGAUCAUUAAAAAAGUUAAACCUAUCGUUAUGGGUUCUUAACUCAUAUCAACCUUGUGUGCACCUAAAUCUGAACCUGGUAGUUCUUAGCUUUUUGGUUAAGACUUGACUAGGACUUGCUUGAGAUUGAAUUCGGACUUAAGUUGGUGGUUAACUUACUAGUUAAGUUACUUAAGACUCUAGUUCGAGUUAAGAAUUUCGAGUAGG